UCCUCUGUGGCUCAGCUGGUAAAGAAUCUGCCUGCAAUGCAGGAGACCUGGGUUCAAAUCCUGGGAUGGGAA
rnacentral:tRNA from 1 species